GAUGAACGCUGGCGGCGUGCCUAAUACAUGCAAGUCGAGCGAACGGACGAGAAGCUUGCUUUUCUGAUGUUAGCGGCGGACGGGUGAGUAACACGUGGAUAACCUACCUAUAAGACUGGGAUAACUUCGGGAAACCGGAGCUAAUACCGGAUAAUAUUUUGAACCGCAUGGUUCAAAAGUGAAAGACGGUCUUGCUGUCACUUAUAGAUGGAUCCGCGCUGCAUUAGCUAGUUGGUAAGGUAACGGCUUACCAAGGCAACGAUGCAUAGCCGACCUGAGAGGGUGAUCGGCCACACUGGAACUGAGACACGGUCCAGACUCCUACGGGAGGCAGCAGUAGGGAAUCUUCCGCAAUGGGCGAAAGCCUGACGGAGCAACGCCGCGUGAGUGAUGAAGGUCUUCGGAUCGUAAAACUCUGUUAUUAGGGAAGAACAUAUGUGUAAGUAACUGUGCACAUCUUGACGGUACCUAAUCAGAAAGCCACGGCUAACUACGUGCCAGCAGCCGCGGUAAUACGUAGGUGGCAAGCGUUAUCCGGAAUUAUUGGGCGUAAAGCGCGCGUAGGCGGUUUUUUAAGUCUGAUGUGAAAGCCCACGGCUCAACCGUGGAGGGUCAUUGGAAACUGGAAAACUUGAGUGCAGAAGAGGAAAGUGGAAUUCCAUGUGUAGCGGUGAAAUGCGCAGAGAUGUGGAGGAACACCAGUGGCGAAGGCGACUUUCUGGUCUGUAACUGACGCUGAUGUGCGAAAGCGUGGGGAUCAAACAGGAUUAGAUACCCUGGUAGUCCACGCCGUAAACGAUGAGUGCUAAGUGUUAGGGGGUUUCCGCCCCUUAGUGCUGCAGCUAACGCAUUAAGCACUCCGCCUGGGGAGUACGACCGCAAGGUUGAAACUCAAAGGAAUUGACGGGGGCCCGCACAAGCGGUGGAGCACGUGGUUUAAUUCGAAGCAACGCGAAGAACCUUACCAAAUCUUGACAUCCUUUGACAACUCUAGAGAUAGAGCCUUCCCCUUCGGGGGACAAAGUGACAGGUGGUGCAUGGUUGUCGUCAGCUCGUGUCGUGAGAUGUUGGGUUAAGUCCCGCAACGAGCGCAACCCUUAAGCUUAGUUGCCAUCAUUAAGUUGGGCACUCUAAGUUGACUGCCGGUGACAAACCGGAGGAAGGUGGGGAUGACGUCAAAUCAUCAUGCCCCUUAUGAUUUGGGCUACACACGUGCUACAAUGGACAAUACAAAGGGCAGCGAAACCGCGAGGUCAAGCAAAUCCCAUAAAGUUGUUCUCAGUUCGGAUUGUAGUCUGCAACUCGACUACAUGAAGCUGGAAUCGCUAGUAAUCGUAGAUCAGCAUGCUACGGUGAAUACGUUCCCGGGUCU
rnacentral:rRNA from 1 species